rnacentral:rRNA from 1 species
AUACGUAGGGUGCGAGCGUUGUCCGGAAUUACUGGGCGUAAAGAGCUCGUAGGUGGUUUGUCGCGUCGUCUGUGAAAUUCCGGGGCUUAACUCCGGGCGUGCAGGCGAUACGGGCAUAACUUGAGUACUGUAGGGGAGACUGGAAUUCCUGGUGUAGCGGUGAAAUGCGCAGAUAUCAGGAGGAACACCGGUGGCGAAGGCGGGUCGCUGGGCAGUAACUGACGCUGAGGAGCGAAAGCAUGGGUAGCGAACAGGAUUAGAUACCCUGGUAGGCCAUGCCGUAAACGGUGGGCGCUAGGUGUAGGGGUCUUCCACGACUUCUGUGCCGUAGCUAACGCAUUAAGCGCCCCGCCUGGGGAGUACGGCCGCAAGGCUAAAACUCAAAUGAAUUGACGGGG